rnacentral:rRNA from 1 species
UACGUAGGGGGCUAGCGUUGUCCGGAAUCAUUGGGCGUAAAGCGCGUGUAGGCGGUCCGGUAAGUCCGCUGUGAAAGUCCAGGGCUCAACCCUGGGAUGCCGGUGGAUACUGUCGAGCUCGAGUCCGGAAGAGGCGAGUGGAAUUCCUGGUGUAGCGGUGAAAUGCGCAGAUAUCAGGAGGAACACCAAUGGCGAAGGCAGCUCGCUGGGACGUGACUGACGCUGAGACGCGAAAGCGUGGGGAGCAAACAGG